UACGUAGGGGGCAAGCGUUGUCCGGAAUCAUUGGGCGUAAAGAGCGUGUAGGCGGUUCAGUAAGUCUGCUGUGAAAGUCCAAGGCUCAACCUUGGGAUGCCGGUGGAUACUGCUGAGCUAGAGUACGGAAGAGGCGAGUGGAAUUCCCGGUGUAGCGGUGAAAUGCGCAGAUAUCGGGAGGAACACCAAUGGCGAAGGCAGCUCGCUGGGACGUUACUGACGCUGAGACGCGAAAGCGUGGGGAGCAAACAGG
rnacentral:rRNA from 1 species